UUUUAUUUGUAGUGUGGUGUGUAGGUGUCAACUAACAGUAAUUUCCUGGUGCCUACUUCGGGUUCCCAGCUAUAUCUAAUAAUUAAAAGUAUAAUUUUGGAGGGUCCUGUGGAUGGUUCAGCGGAUAAAGAAUGGUAUUUGCCACCAAGCCGCCGACCUGAGUCCCAUCUUCAGAAGCCACAAGAGCAAGGGAAUGAGACACCAAUAAAAAUGAGUGGUCCAAGUAAUUCAGCAUCUCAGAAUGCCUCUGUUGUAGUUUCCUAAGAGUUCUGCAUCUAGAACAGCUUCAAGGGUGCUGGCUGAGAUGGUCCAGCCUCACAGGCUAUUCUAGCCAGGACUGCAGCAUGCAUGGAGAAGUCGGAAGAUAACGUGGUGGAGUUAUUUUCUCCCCUUCUACCUUCAUGUGAGUUCUGGGGGUUGAACUCUGGUCACCGAUCCUGCUGGCAAGUGCCUUUAGCAGCUGAGCCAUCUCAUCAAC